GACAGGCUUCAAAGAUCAAAUGAACUGGAAUUUGAGUAAAGGUGAUAUAACAGAUGUAUUUUAUUUCUUCUCAUUGGUACAAUGAUUAAAAUGGCUGAAUUUGUUAAAAGGGAUAAAACGGUACAUUGAAAGAGUUGUUGUUGUUACACGGGCACCGCCAUGUUGGAAUUCCACAAUCGGCUACGUCACUGGCAUGAUAAGCAGCCAUGGGAUGUAAACAGUCUGAGGCUAACGGACAUGGCUGAGGAAACCAACAGG